CGGGUGAGUAACACGUAUGCAACCUGCCUGUAAGAGGGGAAUAACCCGUUGAAAGACGGACUAAUACCGCAUAAUACUAAAUUACUGCAUGGUAAUUUAUUUAAACAUUUAUGGCUUACAGAUGGGCAUGCGCAUGAUUAGCUAGUUGGAGAGGUAACGGCUCCCCAAGGCAACGAUCAUUAGGGGUUCUGAGAGGAAGGUCCCCCACACUGGUACUGAGACACGGACCAGACUCCUACGGGAGGCAGCAGUGAGGAAUAUUGGUCAAUGGACGAGAGUCUGAACCAGCCAAGUCGCGUGCAGGAAGAAUGUCCUAUGGAUUGUAAACUGCUUUUGCAGGGGAAUAAAGUGCAUCACGUGUGAUGUUUUGUAUGUACUCUGCGAAUAAGGAUCGGCUAACUCCGUGCCAGCAGCCGCGGUAAUACGGAGGAUCCGAGCGUUAUCCGGAUUUAUUGGGUUUAAAGGGUGCGUAGGCGGGAUAAUAAGUCAGUGGUGAAAGUUUGCAGCUUAACUGUAAAAUUGCCGUUGAAACUGUUAUUCUUGAGAGUAGAUAAGGUAGGCGGAAUGUGUUGUGUAGCGGUGAAAUGCAUAGAUAUAACACAGAACCCCGAUUGCGAAGGCAGCUUACCGGGCUACAUCUGACGCUGAUGCACGAAAGCGUGGGGAUCAAACAGGAUUAGAUACCCUGGUAGUCCACGCAGUAAAC
rnacentral:rRNA from 1 species